rnacentral:tRNA from 1 species
GUGUGUGUAAUUUAAAUAAAAUGUCAAGCUGUGACCAUGACCAUAGGAACCCUUCCUCACACACC